GUUCAAAAGUGAAAGACGGUCUUGCUGUCACUUAUAGAUGGAUCCGCGCUGCAUUAGCUAGUUGGUAAGGUAACGGCUUACCAAGGCAACGAUGCAUAGCCGACCUGAGAGGGUGAUCGGCCACACUGGAACUGAGACACGGUCCAGACUCCUACGGGAGGCAGCAGUAGGGAAUCUUCCGCAAUGGGCGAAAGCCUGACGGAGCAACGCCGCGUGAGUGAUGAAGGUCUUCGGAUCGUAAAACUCUGUUAUUAGGGAAGAACAUAUGUGUAAGUAACUGUGCACAUCUUGACGGUACCUAAUCAGAAAGCCACGGCUAACUACGUGCCAGCAGCCGCGGUAAUACGUAGGUGGCAAGCGUUAUCCGGAAUUAUUGGGCGUAAAGCGCGCGUAGGCGGUUUUUUAAGUCUGAUGU
rnacentral:rRNA from 1 species